ensembl:snoRNA SNORD116 Small nucleolar RNA SNORD116
CAAUCGAUGAUGACCCUCACGUGCAUUCCUUGGAAAAUCUGAACAAAAUGAGUGAGAACCCCUACCGUCAUUCUCAUCGGAUCUGAGGUCC